UACGUAGGGGGCAAGCGUUGUUCGGAAUUACUGGGCGUAAAGGGCGCGUAGGCGGCCUGCUAAGUCGAACGUGAAAUCCCCGAGCUCAACCCGGGAACUGCGUCCGAUACUGGCAGGCUUGAAUCCGGGAGAGGGAUGUGGAAUUCCAGGUGUAGCGGUGAAAUGCGUAGAUAUCUGGAGGAACGCCGGUGGCGAAGGCGGCAUCCUGGACCAACACUGACGCUGAGUGAGCGAAAGCCAGGGGAGCAAACGGG
rnacentral:rRNA from 1 species